ACUCAAAGGAAUAGACGGGGGCCCGCACAAGCGGUGGAGCAUGUGGUUCAAUUCGACGCAACGCGAAGAACCUUACCUGGGUUUGAACCGCCGAUGAAAUCCCCAGAGAUGGGGCCCUCCCGCAAGGGACAUCGGUAGAGGUGCUGCAUGGCUGUCGUCAGCUCGUGUCGUGAGAUGUUGGGUUAAGUCCCGCAACGAGCGCAACCCUUGCCUGUAGUUGCCAGCGGGUCAUGCCGGGAACUCUACAGGGACUGCCCCGGAAAACGGGGAGGAAGGUGGGGAUGACGUCAAGUCCUCAUGGCCUUUAUGUCCAGGGCUACACACGUGCUACAAUGGCCGGUACAAAGGGGUGCAAUACCGCGAGGUGGAGCGAAUCCCAAAAAGCCGGUCUCAGUUCGGAUUGUAGUCUGCAACUCGACUACAUGAAGUCGGAAUCGCUAGUAAUGGCGGAUCAGCAUGCCGCCGUGAAUACGUUCCCGGGCCUUGCACACACCGCCCGU
rnacentral:rRNA from 1 species